rnacentral:rRNA from 1 species
CCUACGGGUGGCAGCAGUGAGGAAUAUUGCACAAUGGGGGAAACCCUGAUGCAGCGACGCCGCGUGCGUGAUGACGUAUUUCGGUAUUUAAAGCUCUAUCUGCACGGAGGUUAAUGACGGUACCUGUCUAAGAAGCUCAGGCUAAAUACGUGCCAGCAGCCGCAGUAAUACGUAGGCAGCCAGCGUUAUCCGGAUUUACUGGGUGUAAGGGGAGCGCAGGCGGCAGGGCAAGUCUGAUGUGAAAGGCCGGGGCUCAACCCCGGGACUGCAUUGGAAACUGUCCGGCUAGAGUGCAGGAGGGGUAAGUGGAAUGCCUAGUGUAGCGGUGAAAUGCGUAGAUAUUAGGAGGAACACCGGCGGCGAAGGCGGCUUGCUGAACCGAGACUGACGCUGAUGCACGAAAGCGUGGGGAUCAAACAGGAUUAGAUACCCUUGUAGUC